GCACAAUGGGCGCAAGCCUGAUGCAGCCAUGCCGCGUGUAUGAAGAAGGCCUUCGGGUUGUAAAGUACUUUCAGCAGUGAGGAAGGUGGGUAUGUUAAUAGCAUAUUCAUUUGACGUUAGCUGCAGAAGAAGCACCGGCUAACUCCGUGCCAGCAGCCGCGGUAAUACGGAGGGUGCGAGCGUUAAUCGGAAUUACUGGGCGUAAAGCGCAUGCAGGUGGUUUGUUAAGUCAGAUGUGAAAGCCCGGGGCUCAACCUCGGAAUUGCAUUUGAAACUGGCAAACUAGAGUACGUUGUAGAGGGGGUAGAAUUUCAGGUGUAGCGGUGAAAUGCGUAGAGAUCUGAAGGAAUACCGGUGGCGAAGGCGGCCCCCUGGACAGAUACUGACACUCAGAUGCGAAAGCGUGGGGAGCAAACAGGAUUAGAUACCCUGGUAG
rnacentral:rRNA from 1 species